AGUGAACGCUGGCGGUAGGCCUAACACAUGCAAGUCGAACGGCAGCACAGUAAGAGCUUGCUCUUACGGGUGGCGAGUGGCGGACGGGUGAGGAAUACAUCGGAAUCUACUUUUUCGUGGGGGAUAACGAAGGGAAACUUACGCUAAUACCGCAUACGACCUACGGGUGAAAGCAGGGGAUCUUCGGACCUUGCGCGAUUGAAUGAGCCGAUGUCGGAUUAGAUAGUUGGCGGGGUAAAGGCCCACCAAGGCGACGAUCCGUAGCUGGUCUGAGAGGAUGAUCAGCCACACUGGAACUGAGACACGGUCCAGACUCCUACGGGAGGCAGCAGUGGGGAAUAUUGGACAAUGGGCGCAAGCCUGAUCCAGCCAGACCGCGUGGGUGAAGAAGGCCUUCGGGUUGUAAAGCCGUUUUGUUGGGAAAGAAAAGCAGCAGGUUAAUACCCCGCUGUUCUGACGGUACCCAAAGAAUAAGCACCGGCUAACUUCGUG
rnacentral:rRNA from 1 species